CCCUGAAAAAUUUUCAGGACCCCGCGUGGAAUUAAAGGGCCAGAUAGGGACGUUUACUGCACAACGGUUGUUUGGUUCUGUUCACUGGCGACCUGGCAGAAAAGCUGCCUAUUUCUGCAAGUGAUCCGCUCCAUUUGCAUGCGUGGUGCAGACAUUUUGCGGUCACCAGGGUUCCCAGGCCACUGAUCUGUACAUGCUUGUCUGGCCACCUCUUUCCUCCUUCACUUGCAGAGUGCCUAAGAGGAUUUAGAAUCAAGUGGGCGCAUUUGCACGGCCUUGUUCUGAAGAGGCAGCUGGAGCACGGCCGUCGGCCUGGCGCAGACGACCGCGGGUCCCGAGGGACGCUUUGUCCUCCGAGGGGCCGCCACGGGGACUCCAUUGUGCGCCAGGCAGGCCUUUCUCUCCUACCCUCUGUCUCCCCCGGGCCCCUUCCCCACCCCCUACACAGACUUUUCUCUCUAGCCGCCCGGACCCCCCGCUGCCACAUUUCCCACGCAGAGGCGCGGGCAGGGCUCGGCCGGCCAUCUGCACGCGGAGAUUGACAGCAGCCCCGGAAGAUGGACAGUCCUGAGACAUUUUUCAUACAGGCAGCCCAGAAGAAGCCAGCAACCAUUCGCCAGGAGCUGUGGCCAGCCUCAUAACUCAUUCGUGUAUUGGUUUUUCAUCUUUCUCUGCUUCAUUCUUCUCAUCCCUUACUCCUACUCGCUGGAUCACAUUCCCCAAUGAAGUAUUUGCACUCAAGCCUUCGUCUCAGGAUCUGCCAUCUGGGAGACCCAGGCUAAGACCAUGUUAUUUUUUAGCAAAUGGAGUUUUAGCGUCUAGGCUGUCUUCACGCUCCCUCGUCCCAUCCCUCUUUUCACUGUGUGAGUUUCUGUCCAGUUAUGAUGACCAUAAAAUGGUUAAAGGGUUACUUUCUUUCCUUGCUGUGGAUGGAGCGAGGGUCAGUGAGGGUGGUGAGUCAUGACUGCCUUCGCUUCAGCCACAGCGGGACCCAGAUGUCCUUUGCAGUCCUCGUCUGGCAGCUGGUCAGCCACUUUGGCCCUGAGCUUUUGUCCACUAACUUUAACCUGGCUCUGUUUAAUUUUUCCGAUCUGUAUUUUUAACUUCCUCCUCAUAUUUUUAUCUAUUCAUUUUAUCUUGCUCUAUUUAUGGAUUUGUAGAGUAUAAAUAAGCAAAGAUUGGUGUGAGUAGGCCUUUAAAAAAAAUCACAUGGCCCAGUGUCCCAAAAUCACAUGUAAUACUCUCACCAUGUGACAAAGCUUUGUAGAAUGAUAACAAAAUCAUGGUUUUUAGAAA